rnacentral:rRNA from 1 species
UAGUGGAGUGAUCUGUCUGGUUGAUUCCGAUAACGAACGAGAUUUUAUCCUUCUUAGUAGACUGCGCCAACUCUAGCGUAAUCUUCUUAGAGGAACUAUGGGGAAUACCUACCGUAAGGAAGUUGGGUCAUAACA